rnacentral:rRNA from 1 species
AUUGAACGCUGGCGGCAGGCCUAACACAUGCAAGUCGAGCGGAUGAAGGGUGCGUGCUCCUGGAUUCAGCGGCGGACGGGUGAGUAAUGCCUAGGAAUCUGCCUGGUAGUGGGGGAUAACGUCCGGAAACGGGCGCUAAUACCGCAUACGUCCUGAGGGAGAAAGUGGGGGAUCUUCGGACCUCACGCUAUCAGAUGAGCCUAGGUCGGAUUAGCUAGUUGGUGGGGUAAAGGCCUACCAAGGCGACGAUCCGUAACUGGUCUGAGAGGAUGAUCAGUCACACUGGAACUGGGACACGGUCCAGACUCCUACGGGAGGCACCAGUGGGGAAUAUUGGACAAUGGGCGAAAGCCUGAUCCAGCCAUGCCGCGUGUGUGAAGAAGGUCUUCGGAUUGUAAAGCACUUUAAGUGGGGAGGAAGGGCAGUAAGUUAAUACCUUGCUGUUUUGACGUUACCAACAGAAUAAGCACCGGCUAACUUCGUG